GGGUGGUUACAGGUAACAUUGGGUGUGAUACAACGAGUGUGUGCUAGAAAGGUAGGGAAUAUCAGGAAUCAUGAAGACAUCUGCUGAUCCAUGUGGUGUUUGAUAUCUUCUCAUCUGUGGUAUUGACCAAUAGAAACAAUAUGAUCAUAUCAGCAAGAGAGGAGGAGAUCAAAUCUAAUGGGUUCCAAGCAGAUCAUUUACAGUUAGCAGCCAGUGUCACAAAUACCGGAUAAAUCACCUCUGUUGUCCCGAUUUACUGGAAUGUUUCGAAGAAUGCUUCUGAUGAGUUGACCCACAUCAUCCUGACGCAUGCUGUUUCCCCUAUUUAAGGCGACACCAGCGAGUUCAUUGAGAACGGCAUGUGGACUGUGACGUUGAAGUACCCAUCCCAGACAGAGGAUAUGUUCGGACUAGUGGCCAUGGCCUGACAUAGAUGUUUUGUCAAGCAACUAGGCCCCUCAGUAAAUACUGGAUUGUGAUUGGUUAACCAAAGUCAUUCAGAGGUUUGGAAAGCGUGGCAUCGACCAUCCACAGUCAUACCAUGCAGGAAUCGUAGAUGGUAACCACCAGCAGUUCAACACCUGCCAUUACCAACAAUGUGCCAAAGCCUUUCUCCCACUGAACGCUUCGAAAACUUUAUAGGGAGACGUGUGCAUCAACUCAUAUCCAACCGAC